UAAUUGCAUCUAAGCCCUGUUCUUUGGAACCCUAAUCUCGUGCCUCAUGACCUUCUGCUUCCCGUUGUUCAACUCAGAUUCCUGUUCUGACAUUGCCACUGGCUGCUAGCCGCAAAAGAUCCAUUCUUAUAGAGUUGGUAUAAAAGAAAGGUGUCUGCUGGUAGAACGACAACCGGUUUCAGGUGUAUCACAUGGAUCAUUAGUGUCUGCAGUAUCUGUUCUUCCAGUUGAACUUAUCACUACCAAGCCUCAGCUCUGCGCAUGAUCCUUGUUGCUGAUAUAAAGGUCACAAGGAGGCAUUUAAAUUCUUGACAUCUUAGAUUAGCUGAGGUGAAUAAUUAAGAUGACGUAAGGUCACUGUUUUUCCUCCAGGGCUUCAUUUUUUGCCAUUUGAUGACAUGUCUAUAGAGUUCACUGUUUCCUUCUUAUUCCAUUAAUAUUCUGUAUCAAGAAGAGAUAGAGGAUACUAAAUCUUGUAUUUGUUAGUCCUAUGUCAAUCUUUAUUUGUUAGCAAUGAUCAUGGAUGGGAUCAAAUAAAGAACAGCAAUGAUGACACUUAUCA